GUGGGUGUGGUAACGGCACACCAAGGCAACGCUGGGUAGGGGCCCUGAGAGGGGGAUCCCCCACACUGGUACUGAGACACGGACCAGACUCCUACGGGAGGCAGCAGUGAGGAAUAUUGGACAAUGGGCGGGAGCCUGAUCCAGCCAUGCCGCGUGCAGGAAGACUGCCCUAUGGGUUGUAAACUGCUUUUAUACGGGAAGAAACCCACCUACGUGUAGGUGGCUGACGGUACCGUAAGAAUAAGGACCGGCUAACUCCGUGCCAGCAGCCGCGGUAAUACGGAGGGUCCGAGCGUUAUCCGGAAUCAUUGGGUUUAAAGGGUCCGCAGGCGGCCAGAUAAGUCAGUGGUGAAAUUCCGUGGCUCAACCACGGAACUGCCAUU
rnacentral:rRNA from 1 species